rnacentral:rRNA from 1 species
CUACAUGAAGCGGGAGUUACUAGUAAUCGCAGAUCAGAAUGCUGCGGUGAAUGCGUUCCCGGGUCUUGUACACACCGCCCGUCACACCACGGGAGUUGGAGACGCCCGAAGCCGAUUAUCUAACCUUGUGGAAGAAGUCGUCGAAGGUGGAAUCAAUAACUGGGGUGAAGUCGUAACAAGGUAGCCGUAUCGGAAGGUGCGGCUGGAUCACCUCCUUUCUAAGGAGA